UACGUAGGGUGCGAGCGUUGUCCGGAAUUAUUGGGCGUAAAGAGCUCGUAGGCGGUCUGUCACGUCGGAUGUGAAAGCCCGGGGCUUAACCCCGGGUCUGCAUUCGAUACGGGCAGACUAGAGUGUGGUAGGGGAGAUCGGAAUUCCUGGUGUAGCGGUGAAAUGCGCAGAUAUCAGGAGGAACACCGGUGGCGAAGGCGGGUCUCUGGGGCCGAUACUGACGCUGAGGAGCGAAAGCGUGGGGAGCGAACAGG
rnacentral:rRNA from 1 species